rnacentral:rRNA from 1 species
CAAUAGCGUAUAUUAAAGUUGUUGCAGUUAAAAAGCUCGUAGUUGGAUUUCUGGUCGGAAGCUCCUGUCCUCUGAUGAGCGUACAAGUGCGUCCUACCAUCCUUCUGUUAACCUUUAAGGCUUUCGCGGCUUUCUAGGGGCUCAGAUAUUUUACCUUGAGAAAAUUAGAGUGUUUCAGGCAGGCUAGCGCCGGAAUACAUUAGCAUGGAAUAAUGGAAUAGGACUUUUGCCUCUUCUGUUGGUCAUGAGGCUCGAGUAAUGAUUAAUAGGGAUAGUUGGGGGCAUUAGUACUUAACUGUCAGAGGUGAUAUUCUCGGAUUUGUUAAAGACUAACUUAUGCGAAAGCAUUUGCCAAGGAUGUUUUCAUUAA